ACAUCCAGCGAACUUGGCAGAGAUGCCUUGGUGCCUUCGGGAACGCUGAGACAGGUGCUGCAUGGCUGUCGUCAGCUCGUGUUGUGAAAUGUUGGGUUAAGUCCCGNAACGAGCGCAACCCUUAUCCUUUGUUGCCAGCGAUUCGGUCGGGAACUCAAAGGAGACUGCCGGUGAUAAACCGGAGGAAGGUGGGGAUGACGUCAAGUCAUCAUGGCCCUUACGAGUAGGGCUACACACGUGCUACAAUGGCGCAUACAAAGAGAAGCGACCUCGCGAGAGCAAGCGGACCUCAUAAAGUGCGUCGUAGUCCGGAUCGGAGUCUGCAACUCGACUCCGUGAAGUCGGAAUCGCUAGUAAUCGUGGAUCAGAAUGCCACGGUGAAUACGUUCCCGGGCCUUGUACACACCGCCCGUCACACCAUGGGAGUGGGUUGCAAAAGAAGUAGGUAGCUUAACCCUCGGGAGGGCGCUUACCACUUUGUGAUUCAUGACUGGGGUGAAGUCGUAACAAGGUAAGCGUAGCGAG
rnacentral:rRNA from 1 species